CACGUAGGGUGCGAGCGUUGUCCGGAAUUAUUGGGCGUAAAGAGCUCGUAGGCGGUUUGUCGCGUCGAAUGUGAAAAACCCCGGGGCUCAACCCCGGGCCCUGCAUUCGAUACGGGCAGACUAGAGUUCGGUAGGGGAGUCUGGAAUUCCUGGUGUAGCGGUGAAAUGCGCAGAUAUCAGGAGGAACACCGGUGGCGAAGGCGGAUCUCUGGCCGUAACUGACGCUGAGGAGCGAAGCAUGGGGAGCGAACAGG
rnacentral:rRNA from 1 species